rnacentral:rRNA from 1 species
AUUGAACGCUGGCGGCAGGCUUAACACAUGCAAGUCGAGCGGAGCGGCGGACGGGUGAGUGAUGCCUAGGAAUCUGCCUGGUAGUGGGGGAUAACGUCAGGCAACGGGCGCUAAUACAGCACAUUAUCAGAUGAGGCUAGGUCGGAUUAGCUAGUUGGUGGGGUAAAGGGCUACCAAGGCGACGAUCCGUAACUGGUCUGAGAGGAUGAUCAGUCACACUGGAACUGAGACACGGGCCAGACUCCUACGGUAGGCAGCAGUGGGGAAGAUUGGGCAAUGGGCGAAAGCCUGAUCCAGCCAUGCCGCGUGUGUGAAGGAGGUCUUCGGAUUGUAAAGCACUUUAAGUUGGGAGGCGUUACCAACAGAAUAAGCACCGGCUAACUUCGUGCCAGCAGCCGCGGUAAUUC